GAUGAACGCUGGCGGCGUGCCUAAUACAUGCAAGUCGAGCGAACAGACGAGGAGCUUGCUCCUCUGACGUUAGCGGCGGACGGGUGAGUAACACGUGGAUAACCUACCUAUAAGACUGGGAUAACUUCGGGAAACCGGAGCUAAUACCGGAUAAUAUAUUGAACCGCAUGGUUCAAUAGUGAAAGACGGUUUUGCUGUCACUUAUAGAUGGAUCCGCGCCGCAUUAGCUAGUUGGUAAGGUAACGGCUUACCAAGGCAACGAUGCGUAGCCGACCUGAGAGGGUGAUCGGCCACACUGGAACUGAGACACGGUCCAGACUCCUACGGGAGGCCGCAGUAGGGAAUCUUCCGCAAUGGGCGAAAGCCUGACGGAGCAACGCCGCGUGAGUGAUGAAGGUCUUCGGAUCGUAAAACUCUGUUAUUAGGGAAGUACAAAUGUGUAAGUAACUAUGCACGUCUUGACGGUACCUAAUCAGAAAGCCACGGCUAACUACGUG
rnacentral:rRNA from 1 species